rnacentral:misc_RNA from 1 species
GAAGAGAAGAGAAGAGGAGAAGAGCAAAGAAGAGAAUAGAAAGAAGAGAAUAUUUGUGGAAGGAAAGCUUGAUCCAUUUCUUUGAGCUUGAUCUGUAUGUAUACAAUUACAAUGUGUUAAAAUAGUAUUGUGUAUGUCCUGUAAAUUAGGGGAUUAACUCAAUACCGAUAAUCAAGAGAUUCCUUGAUUAUGUAUAUCUUUCUAUUUAGGUUCCUGUAAUUGUGUAUAUAUACUGUUUAUAACUUUGAGAAAAAUAAUCAAGCAAUUUUUUCACAAAUUCUCUAUUUCUCUUCUAUUCUCUCACAACA